GAAAGCGAUGAAAUUUUAUAUUCUUGAUUUAACUUUGAAUCGCAAUCGAUUCGAUUCAUGGGUUGGUUGUGCUCUUUCACUAGCAGAUGAGAUUGAACAAUAUUCUUCGCCUAAUUGUCAAGUUUUCUACUCAUCUACUGAAGAAAUGCUGCUCUUAGGAGAAAAAGUAUUUCGGUGUUUCAAUGAAGCGAUUCGGCUCAAAGAUAAUAGAUCCAAGUUUUGGAGAAUUCACAAAAAGUAGAAAUGAACCAACAGCAUAAGCGAUUCUUAGACCAAGCACAAGUUUGCUUCGAAUCAACUAGCAAAUUUUCUAAGGCUGAUGAAAUUCGGAUGGCUUAUAAUUUGAGAGAUGCUGAACAAUUGUUCAAAAUGGCAACGAUUUUGGCUUCAUCAGAAUUGGGUAGCAAAGGAUUUCUUCGUGAAACCGAUCGGGAAA